rnacentral:snRNA from 1 species
AAAAGUCAGGUGUCUAUAAGUAUGCGGAUUUGCCUCCCUCACCACUCCAUGUAGUCCCUCCAGAAGCUGCAUGCUUGGUGAAAGAGGACAACCAUCCUGAACAAAGUAGAGCUGGUCUUCAAUCAAGGGUAUAUGAGUAUCUGGGCUUCCCUGCUAGAAUCUCCCAAAUACAUCACUGUCAAUUUUUUUAUUUUCUUUUUUUAUUACUUCAAAUUAGGAACAAGCUUGUUUCACAUGUCAAUCCC